rnacentral:tRNA from 1 species
GUGAGCGUAGUUCAAUUGGUAGAGCGCAAGACUGUGGAUCUUGUUGUUGUGGGUUCGAGUCCCAUCGCUCACCCA